rnacentral:misc_RNA from 1 species
GAGGCUGGCAUUUUUUCAUUGGGGAAUCAGAGAAUUGGUAAGUUACCACUUCAAUUCUUCACUUUAGAAAUUGGUAUAGAUGCCCAAUCGCUAAUGGGUUUAUUAGGUUUUAGUUUUUCCAUAGUUUCACUCACUCCUUCGCUCGCUUCCUCUCCUCCCUCUCUCCCUCUCCUUCCUUGUCAUCUUCCUUCCCUCCCUCAUCCUUUCGCCAGAAGGAGGAGUUUAGUGUUACGUGUACGAAAUCUUGGGUAUAAGAGUGAAUCACAACUUUGUGAGUUGAUGGAACCGGGGAAGGAGAAAUCAUCUGAGCUUUAUCGGAAUCUUUAUGAACCAAUUGAGCCGUAUAGUACUGGUUUUUUGAAGGUUUCUGAUCUUCACACUAUCUACUAUGAGCAGUCCGGAAAUCCCAGCGGGCAUCCGGUUGUCUUUCUUCAUGGAGGCCCUGGAGGAGGAACCACACCAAGUAAUCGUAGAUUUUUCGAUCCAGAAUUUUACCGAAUAAUUCUAUUUGAUCAGAGGGGUGCAGGAAGGAGUACACCUCAUGCUUGCUUAGUGGAAAACACCUCAUGGGACCUCAUUGCUGACAUUGAAAAGCUAAGAGAACACUUGGAGAUUCCAGAAUGGCAGGUCAAAAUAUUUUUCUGAUUCUUAGAAAGGAAAUUUGAUGUUAACUUUUUGUGGUGGAUGUUAAUCUUCUUCUACCAUACAGGUAUUUGGUGGGUCAUGGGGAAGUACACUAGCUCUUGCAUACAGUCAAGCUCAUCCUGACAAGGUUACUGGCAUGGUCCUCAGAGGGAUCUUUCUUCUGCGAAAGAAAGAGAUUGAUUGGUUUUAUGAGGGUGGUGCUGCAGCUAUUUACCCGGAUGCUUGGGAACCAUUUAGAGAUCUUAUCCCAGAAAAUGAAAGGGGAUGUUUCAUUGAUGCUUACAGCAAGAGGUUGAACUCUGAUGAUAUGGAAACACAAUACGCAGCUGCAAGAGCAUGGACCAAAUGGGAAAUGAUGACUGCCCAUCUUCUUCCAAAUGAAGAGAACAUCAAGAGAGGGGAUGAUGAUGAUUUUUCUUUGGCAUUUGCAAGGAUUGAAAACCAUUACUUUGUGAACAAGGGCUUCUUUCCAUCAGAUUCUUUCCUAUUAGACAAUGUUCACAAAAUAAGGCAUAUAAAUACUACAAUUGUACAGGGAAGAUAUGAUGUUUGUUGUCCUAUGAUGUCUGCUUGGGAUCUUCACAAGGCUUGGCCAGAGGCAGAUUUUAAGGUUAUUGCAGAUGCAGGACAUUCUGCUAAUGAACCCGGCAUAGCUGCAGAACUUGUGGCUGCAAAUGAGAAGCUCAAAAACAUUAUAAAGAAUGGAUCCUGAAAGGAGAGGUGCAUGAAGCUGUCACGGUGUAAGAUCACAAGCAGAUACUGCGACAGAUCCUUAGGGACAUGAGUUGCUAUCAACUGAGAAGUUUGAUGCAUGCUUUUAGCCGAACAGAAUAGAUCUUGAAAAUAAUGAGGAACUGUGUUAUUCCCUAGUAUGUCUUGCUUUCUUCAAUGGAAGGGUGGAUUUUCCUAGUUGGUGUUGAAUCUUCAAUCCGUCUACCUGCUUUGCUUACUCAAACUGUGAGAAUAAUAAUAAUGUAGAUGCUUGAAGGAUCUGUGAAAUUAUAUGUCAAGUAAUGUCCAAAGAGGUCGCGAAUGAUCUGUCUCUUGAUGUUCUGGUAAAUUAUAAUCCCAUGGUGGUUUUAUUUUUUAUUUUUUAAGUUUUUGACAGGAGGCUGAAAGGUUGCAGGGUAGAAUGGUUA